UACGAAGGGGGCUAGCGUUGUUCGGAAUCACUGGGCGUAAAGCGCACGUAGGCGGAUUGUUAAGUGAGGGGUGAAAUCCCAGGGCUCAACCCUGGAACUGCCUCUCAUACUGGCAAUCUCGAGUUCGAGAGAGGUAAGUGGAAUUCCGAGUGUAGAGGUGAAAUUCGUAGAUAUUCGGAGGAACACCAGUGGCGAAGGCGGCUUACUGGAUCGAUACUGACGCUGAGGUGCGAAAGCGUGGGGAGCAAACAGG
rnacentral:rRNA from 1 species